rnacentral:rRNA from 1 species
GAUUCCCCUAGUAACUGCGAGUGAAGCGGGAAGAGCUCAAAUUUGUAAUCUGGCGGUUCUGCCGUCCGAGUUGUAAUCUGGAGAAGCGUUUUCCGUGCCGGACCGUGUACAAGUCCCUUGGAACAGGGCGUCAUAGAGGGUGAGAAUCCCGUCUCUGACACGGACUGCCGGUGCUCUGCGAUGCGCUCUCGAAGAGUCGAGUUGUUUGGGAAUGCAGCUCAAAAUGGGUGGUAAAUUCCAUCUAAAGCUAAAUAUUGGCGAGAGACCGAUAGCGAACAAGUACCGUGAGGGAAAGAUGAAAAGCACUUUGGAAAGAGAGUAAAACAGUACGUGAAAUUGUUGAAAGGGAAACGCUUGAAGUCAGUCGCGUCUUCCGGAACUCAGCCUUGCUUCUGCUCGGUGCACUUUCCGGUGUGACGGGCCAGCAUCGGCUUCGCGGGGCGGACAAAGGGGAGGGGAAGGUGGCAGCUCCGGCUGUGUUAUAGCCCCUCUCUGCACGCGUCCCGCGGGGCCGAGGAAUCCGGCGCUUGCGCCUGGGAUGCUGGCGUAAUGGCUUUAAGCGACCCGUCUUGAAACACGGACCAAGGAGUGCUACAUGCUCGCGAGUGUUUGGGUGAAAAACCCGGGCGCGUAAUGAAAGUGAAAGUCGAUACCCUUUGCUGGGGCACCGACGCCCGAGCCCGAUGUUUUCGGAGGGCCUUGCGGUAGAGCGAGUAUGUUGCGACCCGAAAGAUGGUGAACUAUUCCUGAGGAGGGCGAAGCCAGAGGAAACUCUGGU